rnacentral:rRNA from 1 species
GAUGAACGCUGGCGGCGUGCCUAAUACAUGCAAGUCGAGCGAACAGAUGAGGAGCUUGCUCCUCUGACGUUAGCGGCGGACGGGUGAGUAACACGUGGAUAACCUACCUAUAAGACUGGGAUAACUUCGGGAAACCGGAGCUAAUACCGGAUAAUAUAUUGAACCGCAUGGUUCAAUAGUGAAAGACGGUUUUGCUGUCACUUAUAGAUGGAUCCGCGCCGCAUUAGCUAGUUGGUAAGGUAACGGCUUACCAAGGCAACGAUGCGUAGCCGACCUGAGAGGGUGAUCGGCCACACUGGAACUGAGACACGGUCCAGACUCCUACGGGAGGCAGCAGUAGGGAAUCUUCCGCAAAGGGCGAAAGCCUGACGGAGCAACGCCGCGUGAGUGAUGAAGGUCUUCGGAACGUAAAACUCUGUUAUUAGGGAAGAACAAAUGUGUAAGUAACUAUGCACGUCUUGACGGUACCUAAUCAGAAAGCCACGGCUAACUACGUG